ensembl:lncRNA
AGGGAGUGUCAGCACUGGAGUUUUAUUCGGAAUGGCUUCUUUAGCUUUCUUAAGUUCUUUUGUCUUAUUUCCAGCUUUGCCUGUAUCUGCCAUUCUUUUCAUCUCCUCAAAAGGCUGAAUGAACAGUGUUUGUUCAUGGGAUAUCCCAUGGAACCAUGCUGUUGGGGAGCAUCAGAGAGGCAAAUUGUUUCUGCGUCCUCCAGCCUCUGUCCUGGGCCCUGGUUCUCCCUGCUCGGCUAUGUGCAUGACCUUGGGCAUGGACCUGUCUCCAGGUGGGCAUGGACCUGUCUCCAGGAAGUUUGAUGACCCCCUACAUGAGAAUGUGAGGAUGUGAGAGUUGGACCACAAAGAAGGCUGAGCGCUGAAGAAUUGAUGAUUUCAAACUGGUGCUGGAGAUGACUCUUGAGAGUCCUUGGACUGCAAGGAAAUCAAACCAGUCAAUUCUAAAGGAAAUUAACCCUGAGUAUUCACUGAAAGGACUGAUGCUGAAGCUGAAGCUUCAAUACUUUGGUCACCUGAUGUGAAGAGCUGGCUCACUGGAAAGACCGUGAUGCUGUGAAAGACUGAAGGCAAAGCGAGAAGGGGCAGCAGAGGAUGAGAUGAUUAAAUACCAUCACUGACUCAAAGGACAUGAGUCUGAGCAAACUCCGGGAGAUAAAGGGGACAGAAGUGCCUGGCGUGCUGCAGACCGUAGGGUCCCAAAGAGUUGCACAUUGCUUAUCAAUUGAACAACAACACAUGAGAAUAUUAACACCAUAGAGACAUUGGGUGUAUCUUGUGCACUGCUUUAGACCCAGGAUGUGGAGCACUGGAUGCUUCCUGCCCUCUUCUCCCCUCCUCUCUUAUCUUUUCCUUCUCUAGCUGGCAUAAGAGGAUGGACUCAGCAGUCAGUAUCAUUCAAGACCAAAGAGACUGCCAAGCUCUGGCGGAAAAUGAGAAUAGCACAAUUGCAGAGCUGUGUGCCAGGGAUCCUGACAACUAGGUGCUGUGUGUGCAGUGCUUUGUAGAUGACGUGUCCUUCCUGAAACUCAC